rnacentral:rRNA from 1 species
UACGUAGGGGGCGAGCGUUGUCCGGAUUCAUUGGGCGUAAAGCGCGCGUAGGCGGCCCCGCAAGUCGGCCGUGAAAUCUCCGGGCUCAACUCGGAGGGGUCGGGCGAGACUGCGGGGCUCGAGGGUGGGCAGAGGGCAGUGGAAUCCGGGUGUAGUGGUGGAAUGCGUAGAGAUCCGGAGGAACACCAGUGGCGAAGGCGGCUGCCUGGGCCUGGCCUGACGCUGAGG